UACGGGGGGGGCAAGCGUUGUUCGGAAUUACUGGGCGUAAAGGGCGCGUAGGCGGCUUUUCAAGUCGGGCGUGAAAUCUCCGGGCUUAACCCGGAAGGGUCGUUCGAUACUGUUGAGCUAGAGUGUGGAAGAGGCAACUAGAAUUCCGUGUGUAGCGGUGAAAUGCGUAGAUAUACGGAGGAAUACCUGAGGCGAAGGCGGGUUGCUGGGCCAACACUGACGCUGAGACGCGAAAGCGUGGGGAGCGAACAGG
rnacentral:rRNA from 1 species